rnacentral:misc_RNA from 1 species
GCGGUGAUAACGGUGGGGGUUCUGAUUUGGGUUUUCAUUGGAAAACACACCAAUGGAUCUCAGUUUGCAAACUUUUGUAAAUUUAGAGACCAUUUCUGAUAUGUUUGAAGAGGGUUUAGAGGGUUUAGUGGUGGCAUACUCCAUCCCUUUGAAAGAUUAAAACCCUAAACUGAGUCAGAUCUAACAAUGAUACGUUGAAAGGAAUAUUUAG